rfam:Ovis aries breed Texel chromosome 13, whole genome shotgun sequence.
UCCCUGGUGUCUUAGUCAGUAAAGAAUCUGCCUGCAAUGCAGGAGACCAGGGUUCAAUCCCUGGGUGGGGAA